AGAGUUUGAUCCUGGCUCAGGACGAACGCUGGCGGCGUGCUUAACACAUGCAAGUCGAACGAUGAAAGAGGAGCUUGCUCUUCUGGAUUAGUGGCGAACGGGUGAGUAACACGUGAGUAACCUGCCCUUGACUCUGGGAUAACCUCGGGAAACCGAAGCUAAUACCGGAUACGACAACCGACGGCAUCGUCUGGUUGUGGAAAGAACUUCGGUCAAGGAUGGACUCGCGGCCUAUCAGGUAGUUGGUGAGGUAACGGCCCACCAAGCCUACGACGGGUAGCCGGCCUGAGAGGGUGACCGGCCACACUGGGACUGAGACACGGCCCAGACUCCUACGGGAGGCAGCAGUGGGGAAUAUUGCACAAUGGGCGCAAGCCUGAUGCAGCAACGCCGCGUGAGGGACGACGGCCUUCGGGUUGUAAACCUCUUUUAGUAGGGAAGAAGCGAAAGUGACGGUACCUGCAGAAAAAGCACCGGCUAACUACGUGCCAGCAGCCGCGGUAAUACGUAGGGUGCAAGCGUUGUCCGGAAUUAUUGGGCGUAAAGAGCUCGUAGGCGGUUUGUCGCGUCUGCUGUGAAAACCGGAGGCUCAACCUCCGGCCUGCAGUGGGUACGGGCAGACUAGAGUGCGGUAGGGGAGAUUGGAAUUCCUGGUGUAGCGGUGGAAUGCGCAGAUAUCAGGAGGAACACCAAUGGCGAAGGCAGAUCUCUGGGCCGUAACUGACGCUGAGGAGCGAAAGCAUGGGGAGCGAACAGGAUUAGAUACCCUGGUAGUCCAUGCCGUAAACGUUGGGAACUAGAUGUAGGGACCAUUCCACGGUUUCUGUGUCGCAGCUAACGCAUUAAGUUCCCCGCCUGGGGAGUACGGCCGCAAGGCUAAAACUCAAAGGAAUUGACGGG
rnacentral:rRNA from 2 species